rnacentral:rRNA from 1 species
UACGUAGGGGGCAAGCGUUGUCCGGAUUUACUGGGUGUAAAGGGCGCGCAGGCGGGCUUGUAAGUCGGUGGUGAAAGCCUGUGGCUUAACUACAGAACUGCCAUUGAUACUACAAGUCUUGAGUGCGGAAGAGAGAGACGGAAUUCCAGGUGUAGUGGUGAAAUACGUAGAUAUCUGGAAGAACACCAGUUGCGAAGGCGGUCUCUUGGUCCGUUACUGACGCUCAGGCGCGAAAGCGUGGGUAG